GCAGCCAUCUGGGCAGUGACGAACAUCGGCUUGUUUAGACUUGCGAACUCGAUUCCUAACUUAACUGCACGCAUGGCUUUAUUCCUCGCCUGAAGCCCCUGACGCGUUACCGUUGCUUGUUUUCUACACGCAUGAUAGCAAGACGUGACUGAGUCGUCCACCAGAAAUAGUGACGAUAUCCUACAGGCUACAUUUUCUCAUCGUUCCUUAAUACGGGUCGCGUCCAGCUGAGCCGAUGCGGAACCUGACCGAACCGGAAGCGUGACCUGACCUGACCUGAGCUGAGCUGAGCUGACCUGCGGGCGGGUGAUGCAUGUUUACGGUUCUGACCGCCACUGGAGAACUCGCAGGAGCGAACCUUUAUAUCGACGCCAUUCUGCACAAUGUCACCAGCGUGCUGAAAAACGAUGGAGAGGAGUUCCUCUCAAUUCCCGACCACUCGAUUGGAAGCGUACAUCUGCACCAGGGCCAGAUCUCGGGGCUCGACACCUUGCGGCGAAAAGGUCAAGCUCGAAUGCAUAGCGACAGUGAUGGCGCCACCAUAGAGGCCAAGCUUGCGCUGGAGCAAGUCCGCCUCUGCUACGACUAUUCCGCU